AGAGGAAGGCAGACAGCAUUAAUAAAAUAGGCCACCGGAGUAUAAGCGAGCUGUGUAUGAAAUCACUAGGUGCAGCAAGCCAGCUCUUAGAUGUAAUCACAGCUUGCCACCUGCCUAGCCAUAUCUGAUGGCAAUUAUCUGCAGACUUCGUACAGAGAAGAGUUUUACAGGAGGAUCUGAAAGACAAUAAACUCUUUACGGAGUGGAGAUGAUCAGCUACAUAAUUUUGCUUAAAGCAGGUAAAAGUCAGGAAUCGCGUUUGGCUGCAAAUAAAACACACUGCUUAUCUCUGGAGGGCUUUCAUUGGUUUGCCAUCCAGGAACAGUGUGAGACUGCCUGAGGAAUGGCCAGUGAAAGGGAAAGCAGAGGGGCUACAGACAUGGGAAAGAAGCCAGUCAGAUGCUGAAAGCUGGACUGAAAAAAAAGCUGCUGUACCACGUUAGGACAGCAGGCUGGAAGUCUACGUAUAUUUCUCAUGUAAGGAAACUAUUAAAUACACAAUUAAAUGGGAGGCGGUAGAACUUAUUUAAUGUUAAUUCACUUACCUGUGGAUGUUGUAUAGUGUUUGUGGAAAUGAAAGAAGUAAACUGAAGCCUGGAAGAAAAGAGAGAUUGAUAUGCAUUGAUUUACAGUCAUACCAGCUUGACAGUCCCACAUAUGACAGAAGAGCCAAUGAGCCAUUGUAGAAACGAUUCAGUAUUCUAGUGCUCAUCACAGGAUGCAAAUGAAAUUCAGAGGCCUUAGGCAAUCACAUCACCUUCCUUACUUUUCCAAGGGUUAGCUGCUAGAAGUAGUUGCUGAUACAGAUCUUCUUGUGCAAUGAGUGGCAAGAGCUGGAGGGUUUUUAAAACAUGGGAUGCCACGAGUCGGUACAAUCGGCUGUGUGCAAUGCAGGCUCCUCUGCAGGAUCCAAGAAAGAUCACGGCCCCAUUUUGCAUGAGCUGCUCUCUGUUCACGUAGAGAGAGACGAGUCUGACACCAAAAGCUUUCCAGUGGAAUAUAUAAGGAUAAUUAAUCUCCAACAGCGCUGCCCACAUUAGCGGGGAAAUAGUAGGUUUAUAGUCCAGUAUGCUGAGAUUCAAUUAAUGAGAGGCUUUGCUGAGCCAGUGGCGUAAGUAAGUGAAUUAAUUUUCAUGAUACAGCCAUCAUUUUGAUGAGUUGCUUUUUUUAAAAAUACAGCUGUGACCUUUCUGGAGCUCAGCUUUAACCAAUAAAGGACAAGGAAUUUGCCUUUGUUAACUCUAUGCCUCUGUGCCUUGCUGCUGCUGAGGACCCAGGAGCUGGCUGAGGACCCGCGUGGUGCCCUGUGCAACACCCCCACACACAGUGCGUUCAUCUGAGGAGCAGAGAAGGACUCCAGCAAGAAGUGAGCAUUCAAGUGCUUUUAGAAAGCAGCAUUAGUCAGCCUAACUAGAGGAAGAAACAGAGAAUUGGAAAAAGAGUCUCCAGCCUGCGAGUCAUUUCAGGUAUUGCAUUUUCAUGUGUUUACUUCUUGCUGUUUCUUAAAACAGAUGAGAUAAAGAGCUCUGCUUCUUUGCCAUGGCGGGAUCUCUGUAUCACACAGCUGAAGGCUGUGCAACUGAAGUAACAGCCCAAGUCUUUCGUAAAUGUAUUUACAAAAUUUGCAAGCUUAGUGCCUUCACAGUGAUCUGCGUUUCAUGUGCACUGCAGUUAUCUAUGUUUUCUAUUAGGCAGGGAGGGCUGGUUCAAUAAAAGCUUGAGUAACGUACAGCAGUUCCAACAUCUGCAUCACAUUAGAGCAGACAUGAGACAAAACAUUGACUCUUGAGGUUAAAUCUAAAUUUCCUGCUGCAAUCCUGAAGUUUGAUUUGUUAGGAGAAAAGCAACCAAGAGGAACAGAAAUAGAGACUGGAGCUGGAAAUAGAAUUCAAAGCCCGAUGGUUGCCAGCAAUUUGUUAUUUUUAUGAAGUGCCAUUUUAGUUAGAAAUAACACGCUGACCACAAACAAUCCCCGGGCUGUAGCUGAAAGUCGCUUUUGGAUCAGGACAGUUACAGCAGUCACUCCUCUGUAUUUUUAGGCACCUUCCCUUUAACAAAGCGAGCGCGGAGGAUGCAGUAGGGAAGGCAAAGGGUGUUCCCCUGUUUCUUACGGGAUUUUCAAAAUUCCAUCAUUUCCUACAACACGUUGCUCUCCUCGGUCGUCUUUUAGCUAAGGAGGCCUGGCUAGGGGGCUGCUUUUGGUAUUCAUUAAGUCUGCUUUUUAAUUGGCAUUAAGAAGCCCUUUGUGCCCGGGAGCUAAAUUACUGCUUCCGCAUUGCUGCCAUUCCCCGCUGGUCCAGGGAACAAAAGGUGCAGCCUGGAAAGCCACCACCAGGCUGUCCCUCAGGCGCUGGGCCAGCUCUGCACUGCCCAAGGGAUGGCCUUGGUGCUUGCUUCUUUUCUGUUUUUAAUAGCCCAUUUUGUUUUAAAAUCGUAUCAAAGUCAAGCUUAGCGCAUUAGAAGUUUUUAACACGCAAUAGACGAUUCACAGAAUUGAGGGGUUGGAUGGGACCUCUGGAGAUCACUGAGACCAACCCUCCACGUGCUUGUUAAAAAGAUCACUGCUGUUGUAGUAUUUUUUCAGUUUUACCUUUAAUAUCUUCCCCAGCUGACUUAAAUCCUGAAUCCCAAAGGUAAGAAAACAGCUCUGCUCUGAGGGCAGAAAUACAGAGCACAGAUGGGUGGCACAGAUACACACAGGGAAUUCUUGUGUCACGCUGGGCAUCAAGCCCAAAUCCUGGGAUUUAGGCACAAUCCUGUGCUCAGUCCUGAGCCUUUCAAUAUCUCGUCUCACUUUUCAGAGAAAUAAGCAUUUGCAAAGCUCUUCGUCAGGAAUUAUUUUGUCCACGUUAAAAAACAACUACAAAAAAAAACCCCAAAAACCAACAACGAUGCAUUCGGGAUUACAGAUACGUCAGAAAUAAAGGCAUAUCUUGUAUUCCGAAUGUGAGUAUAGAUGUGUAUAGAGAUCUAUCUAUCUAUAAACAUACUGAUGGUUAUGUACGCAAGGACACGCAUACUUAUAUAUGUGUGAAAAGGACAGAAAGAUAACUCCCAGCAGUUCUAGUCACAACCUCAGAUUUCCUUUGGUGCUUUCAAAUUCAGUUCCAAAACUGUUAAGGUGUUGUGUUAUACUUCUGCAUGAAUAAAAAACAAAAACAGUAAAAAAAAACCAAGCUAGUGAUGGACAGUGCAGUACAUUUGUCCACUGUGUUAAUCUGACAGUAAUGGCAGACUGGCAGUGAUGUAUUUAAGUUCACUUGCACGAAGGCAUCUUAAAGCAUGCCCCAAACCUCCUGAUGGCCUGAAGGCUGCAAGGCUUAUCUUGCAUAGCACGGUGCAGCCACCUGGGUGAAUUGCUUGUUGUAGAGAAAGGGCGGGUGGGUCCAGAAACAAGCAGCUGGCACUGCUGUCAGCUCUACAAAAUGCUCUUUCAGUAACCAGCAAAAAGACCUAGCCUGCCUCAGGUAACCAGGUUCCUGAAUUCACCCGACUACGGAGAUUCUAAGCAAUGCUAAAUAAAAUAGCUCUAAGAAGGCAGCCAGAACACCUAGGAUACUAUUAUUUUUAAUGAAAUCCGCUGCUUCAAAGGCAGAGGUAUCUUAGCUGUUUAUUCUCUCCACGCCUAUUUCACUGCAAAUUCUUCAGGUGGUACCUACCAUCCCCUCUGUCCUCCCCCAAAACAGGGUUUUGGAGCAAUGAAACCUCCUCCUCAGUGAAGAGGCCUGCACAUGCCUUUUCCUUUGCGUACUGCAGAAGUUUGACUGAGUAAAAAUCGACACUUCAACCUCUGAAGUUGCAUUUCAACCUACAGUUUAAAUACCAUCACCUUCCUCCCUUAUUCUUCAUCAGCUUAUUCUUCAUCAUAGUCAAUGCUUGUUUCAAAAGAUAGGGAUAGCAAAUACUUCCUUUUCCACUAGAAAAAAAAAAUUAAGAUUGAAAAUAUUGAGGCCUCAAUGCAAGCUUGAAAAAAUCUUUAAUUUUUUUCCACAUUUUUUCCACAUUUUUUUUCCAAAUGUCUUCCACAUUUAGAGCAGCCACAUCUAUAAGGCGUAUCUUAGCAUGCUGAGCAGUGCCUGAAAGUCAGCUUCAUUAAAAGGUGAACUUUCAGGAGCAUUUCCAACAGGAGCAGCAGCUUCUUGUGGAACUGUGUGGUUUUCCCACCCAUUUCCUGGGAACACAACUCAUACUUGGUUGUGCACACAGAUAACUGCAUGUUCAGUUGUCCAGUCUACUACACAAUCACAUUUUAAUACUAUAUAAAAUUGCAACCUUAUAACCACUGAGUAAGUGUAGAAAACUCUUAAACUUGCAAUUUUCAGACUUAAUUGAGCCUGUAAAUUCUGAAUGUAUGAAGUAAUUGAAAGACAGAUGAAAAAUAAACCUGGACACAUCUACGUACCAUCAAAGGAUUUUACAUGACUAAGGGCACUAUGUAAACAUGAGUACUGCAUUCAUGCAAAAAGUUGAUGUAAGUUUGGGGUGUUGAGCAUCUAAGACGCUGAGUAUAAAGCAGCAAAGGGAUGUGUUUAUCGUGCUUACUGAUUUUAUAGCUUAUUUUCAAAGUCUAAGAACACAGCGUGUUGAUCUCUUUGAACUGAGCUGCAAGGUAACCAUUAGCAUUUGGAGGGCUUUAGUAUAGACUGAGAAAUUAGUUUGUGGAUGCAGUUGCUGCUUUGACGUAGUCUUGUUUAAAAGCAUGGAUGUUUAACUUUCUUUUUCUGCAUACAGCAAGAAUCGAGCACCUGAGGAUCAGUGCCCUUAGUUGAAAACCCAAGGCUGGCCACCAGAAGGUCCCUGCCAGGUGAGUUCCAGUGUGUGACUUUCCUUUUGGGGCUCUCACUGCCUGUGAAAUGAAUCCACGCCACUGUUACAAUCACCAUCAUGGGAUCAACACUAUCGGUCAACACCACUGAUCAGAGGUUCAGGGUUCACCCCAGCAUUUCAGGGUGUAACUCUGCCACCAACCACCAGAGCUCUUGUUUUCUAGGUUAUUGUGGCUAUUUUGGAUGGGUUACUCCAGACAUGAACUUCAGUGCAUUUUAUGUAGACCUGGAGUGACAGAUGAGUAUUUCACACCCUUUUCUUCAAUGAAGCCUUGUACAAUCCGUCACAGCAGUGCUUUAAUAAAUGGUAAAUUGGUGACAGAGAAGUAGAAGCCAACUCAUGUUAACUACACUUUUAAAACAAGGCCAGGCAGGGCCUGUAGGAGUGAUAACAUUUAGAAAACAUAUAACUGAGCAUUUAAUCACUUAACUGUCCACCAGUGAGGCAGAACAAUCAGCUACCUUGCAAUGGGAACUAUAGAAAAUCAGUGCAGAAUGACUUACUGGCAUGAAGCAGAUAAAAAAACAUACAAUUAAUGUAUGUAAGAAGAAAAAAAGAAAAAAUUCCUUUCAUCAUCAGAAGUGCAUUUAAGCUGUCAUUGUGAUCAGUGCCUUGCAUUGCUAUGAAGGCUCUCAGCAUCACCAGUUUUCCAUGGGGAAGGAAGAUGCCUCACUUGCAACCAUGCUCCAGAGAAGAGGUAGGGGACCACAUCCAGAUUGCUUCAGACAGAAGAAAUCUGCCUACCUGCUGUGUUGCAGAUCUGAUGAAUGGGUUUAUGGGAAUAAAUGUCCUGUUAAGGGUUGGUCUGCAGGACCUGGAGAUAUAUUCAAAUGAAUAACAUAGCAGGUAUGUUUGAACUGUAACACUGAUCUGAACCAAAGAAACCCAUACUUAACUAAAGGAAUGCACGUUUCAGAUGAUGGCCGUUUGACCAUGGCCUUCUAAAAUUUUCUUACAUGGAAUGAAGAGCAGACUGCUGUGUGCUCUUCAUUCCAUGUAAUUAAAUUUUAGAAGGCCAUGGUUUUAGAAGGCUAUGGUUUUAGAAGGCCGUGCUGUAUAUAACUGCCAGCUGCAUGGACUUCUCUGUCCUUCUUCAAUCUAUACAGUAUAGGACAUUGUUUAAGAACUGCUUUAGGUGGAUAACUGCUUUCUUGGUACUACAGAAUUCAAACACUUGCAUGUUUCAAAUGCGGCUUGGUCUGGUCAUUAGUUUUUUUGCUGCUAAUGUGUUUUCUUUUAUGCACUCAUUCCCUAUUUCGUGCACUUAAGUAGCCCACAGAAAUGAGCAGCCUCAAGGCACACGCGCUCCUUGCAGAGUACAGGACCCCAUCCAGUGCACACUGUAGGAAAAAAUUCUGAAUCCUUUGGCCCCAUCUCUAAGAGAAAGUUCAAGUUUCCGAUCCAUGACAGCUGUUAGUACUCCACUGAACGUUUCAUGUUCAAACCUGUCCUUUGAAUAUCUGUGUCAGCUUUGCCACAAGCUUCACGAGCCAGAUCUGGGCACUGCUGCCCACCACGUAGAGCGGACUCAAAUGUGCCCCUGGUCUGGCUGGCAGAGCUGCCUGCACCAUGUGCCACAUACCGAUGAAGCACAACAUAUCCACUCUACGCUCUGGUGAUCUCUCAACCACGAAGCCUAGUUCUGCAAUGGCAAUCAAUACUGAGGAGGAGUGGGAACCUUUCUGGGCAUCUAGGGGUAGUUUUUCCAACCUGGCUCCCUAAGGAAUGAAGCUGAUGUGACUGAUUGUACACUGCCUGCUCAUCUGCAUCCCACCAUAACUUCUGAGCCCUGUGGUCAAUUCUGAACAAGUUUAGCAGGUUGAAAGACAAUUCCUGUAAGUUGCCUGGAAACAAACAGUCAAGUAAAAGAAAACAGUUACAUGGAUGUUUCCAGUGAGAUGAUUGCAGCCUGAGCUCAAAUUUUAUUGCACAUUAUAAAAUCUAUUCCACACAGAGCUUGUAUGUGUGUCUUGAGUAUGAAAAAGCUUCAAGCACCUAUCACAGGUCAUGUAAUCGCAAUGUGAGACAGAAACCAUAAUCAAUUAGUAAUGCUGCUCCUUAAACUACUGACAUUUAUCUGUCAAAGACAGUCUUUGUAUGAAGUCUAUAACAUCUUUUGGCAUCAUUUUUGGUAUUAGACUGCACGUAGCAAACUGAUUGUUUUAAAAUGCUUAUUGUAAAUAUUUUAUAUGGCUCUCGACCUGAUAAGGCAGCGACAGGGAAUGCAUGGUAUUUGGGGCAUCCUGGAGGGGUGAAAAUAAAUGAUGGGUCUCACCCCAGUGGUGCCCUUUGAAGAGACCCUCGUUAGCCAGAUAACGCUAUGGGACAGUUGUGGUUAAAUCCCGGCGGGGCUUUUGGAGUGUCAUCCACAAAAGCUUUGCUGAGAGCAGAAGUAAUUAGUUCCAGCUGAGCACACAGGCACAUAACUUUAGAAAGGUCUGGCAACUUUCAUGCUAAGAGGGGAAAAAAACAAAGGUAUUUCUGUCCAGAAGGCAGGAUAACAUGCUCUGGAAAUGGAGAACAGCCUAUUUUAUUUAGUUUGGUGCUCAGCUAGGUGUGUGUUAGGGGGCAUAGGGACUGGAACUUCAGGAUGGAAUCGCAUUCACCGCCUGCAAAAAUUCCAUGUUCCUAUUCGCUGGGUAGCAGAAUUCCCACAGAACACUCUGCAGAAGUUUCUCAGCUUCACAAGGAAGGCCUCUGGGGGCACUUUUCAGCAGCCCAAGAGCUGAUCUUCCUACAGGUGCUCACUGUGUGCUAGAGAGUUCCCAGGGACGUAUGUAAAGCUCUCUCUUGGGAGGUUUUCAUAAAGCUUCUAAUCUAAACACCGGCAUCACUGUGGUUUUUAUGUAUAUCUUUGUGUGUUCUGGCACCUGAUAAAAAUUGCACUGUGGGGGAGUGAAUGUCACCUGGUGAUACCGCAGCUGCCACCGAGGAUGUGCUUGGAGUGGAGUUCAUCCUCAGGUUAUAUGUGGGCUCUUCUUUUUUUUUUUUUUUCUUUUUCUCCGAGAAACUCCAGGAAACACAUCUGGAAAACUCCACUCCUGUGCUCCUUGUUCGGAUUUCUUCCCACUAUGAAAGGUACUAGCUACAGCCCAGCUGUGCUCAGGAAAGUGACAGCUCAGCGGUUGAACUCCUGUUGUGUACAGAACAGUAAAAGCACAAAACUGCAGGCACGCUGUUGGCCAAGUACUGAUGGAGCAGACACGCGGGUUCAAUGUUAGAGUGAGCACUGGUGACUCUUAAACGCCAUGGGAUGGUUAAGGAUAGCCAGUUAGGGCUUAAUGGCUCCUCUCAGGGUUCUGGGAAACAACCUCAUAAAAAGCAGCAGAGGCCCUAUUGCAUUGCUCUGGGUUUUGAGUGGCCACAGUGGCACUGAGCUGAGCGUGCUGCAGGGAGGUGACCUGAGGCAAACAGGUGUGGCUGAGCAAGGCGUGCUCUGCCCUUGGUGUGGGCUAUGCCAGUGCUUUUCCAGUAGGCACAGCGGGGUCCUGGGUUUUACUGCAAGCUUCUAAAAACUAUAUAUCCAGAUUUACGGCACGCAGGCUAUCCAGUGAUUAAACACUUCAAAUACUAUUGUUGAACUGGGAUUCAUACCUGUGACAAAGCUGAAGUGCUUUCUGGAUCAGAAUGAUACUAAGUACUGCAUACUUUACACCUAUAUUACAGGUAUGAUUCAGCUGCAAAAGUGGCCCUGCUAAUGGCACUAUAGACAAAGCGCAAGAAACAAUAUUUUUAAAGAAAUGUUUUGGCUCUCAGUUAUGUCUCUUCAGCUUGGGACAACGAUGGAAGAAGCACUCAUCUCCCUGCUUAUGAAUCCAGCCAUGCAACUGUACUACAUCAGACGGAAGCAGUCCUUCUUUCUAAAUCUAAAGGAACAUUCCAUCAAACUUCGCUUUGCAGUAGAAUAUGAAGAAAGAUGCUCACUUCUGUGGAUUUUAUCACGCUGAUGUGCUUUCCUAGCACAAAUCUUCCUAAUACACUGACUAGUUUGAGUUAAACCUUCACCCAUGACUUCCCAAGUGCAUCCAGCUCCUCACUGAGGCGGCUGUCAUGUGCCUUGACAAGAGGAGCAGAGAUGAUGUACAUAGCGUGGAUGGAGCUCUGCACCUGCAGGCCCCAGCAGCAUGGCUCGCACAGAAGCCAGCACCCAUCUCUGGCUCUGCAGCACGGCUCCCAGAGCACACAGAGCUCCUUCUUCCCACCAGAGGGCAUUUCCCAACUGCACACGGCCAGAUUGAUCCUUGCAAUGCCUACCAAAAGGGCAGUCACUGUUUUUGCCCUUCCCUUUCUUUCUUUUUCUCUGUGCUCACAAAACAGUCCUGACAAAUAACUAGACUGCUCAACCUCCGUCACACAGGGUCAGUUUUAGAUGCUGCAGACAUCUCUGCAGGCAGGUGUCAACAUGAAGCUGUGCAAAUGCAGCAGGUUCAGAAGCACCCCUGGAAGCACUCUGGCAGCCCCUGGCUGGAGAUGGAGCUGGGUGAUGGCCUUUAUUCAAGUCCUCUAUCUGGCUCAAGGCCCGAAUGCAUUUCUGUCUGUCUUGCCUGUGCCAAACCCUAUGUCUUGUGCCCUCUUGUCAUUACUUGUAAGUUCAUAUAGAAAUCCUGGAGAAAUGCAUUUGCUAAUGUUGUCACCUUCCAAUUAACACACUGAAGCAUUCCACGCGCACACCUUUGUAGCUAGGACCGCUGUUCUAGCUCAUUGCAAUGUAACUCAUGUACUCAGUCUAGCUAUAGCAGCUGGAAGGUGCUCUUCUUACUUCAGGAUACACUGACAGUGUCAGGCAAUGAGCAAAUUGGUCACUGCUGUGUAUGAAAAAUGCAUACCUCUGGUCUGAGAGUAAUUCUAAACACAGAGCUUAGAAACCAUCUACAGCUGUGCCUCCUACCGCUAUUUAAAUAAUACCUUUCUUCUUUCUGUCCGUGAUGUUUUGGAUCAUAGUGCGCUGCAGGCUGACCUACUGAUCUUUUAUCAGAUAUAAAUGUGAACAACAUUUUACCAGACUGAUAUAAGAAGUCUGUGAGCGUUUGAAAACAGUCAGUAAAGCACACUGAUCUGCAUGUGUAACUAAGGAACAAUUUUUGUGUUAUUUGUAUACAACAGAUAUGAAUUCAGUGAGGAAAAAUGUUUCCAGAGUGGUCUGCCAGCUUAAGUUUACCAGUAAGACUCCUAUUAGUCACCUCUAUUCAUGUCAGCUUGGGACUGGCCAGCGCUUACAAAAGGAAAAAGAAAUUUAUGGGCAAAAUAAGGAAUUAUCUAAUCAAAGGAAUUAAAUAACAGUAAAGUUCUCCACGGAUCCAGGCACUUACCUAUAAGCAAGAUUACUAAUACGUCUGUAAUGUAAUAACCAAACAGGAAAGGCUUCUGCCAGACUUCCACACCAACAAUGCCGGUGAGCAGAUAUGCUGUUAUUAACACCUACAGAAAAAAAGAGAUAACAUGCUUUUAAUCCUUUCCUCCUAAAGGCACAGAAUUUUGCUUACCAUCUCAGCACAAACAGAAAUACAGCCCUGCUCCCCACCUGGUGCCGGCUGCCAGCAGCCCUGCCAACCACUGCUAAAUCUGUGCUGUGUGGUUCAGUUCCCUGAACCGUUCUGGACCAAGAUUAACAGUGAGUUAUGAAAAGUCAUUGUACCUCUAAGUCCAAGCAGUCUCAUUACAUGUAAUGCCGGUGAGGAGACCGGAGAUUCACUUAUUUAUUCCCAGCUAACACUUGGUAACUUCUAUUUUUUCCAUUCAGGACAGCUUCUUUCUCUGGGAUCACAAAUAUUUUCCAGCCUUAACAUAUGGUAGAUUUUACUAUCUCUUUGCUUAGCUUAUUUUUUUGGUUAGAUGUCACUAUAUUUGACUUCAUUCAGUUUUCUGUAUCUAGAUUCAAGGCUCUUGCCCUAUCAUUACGCAGAUUUUAAAUAGUUUUAUUGAAUGGGGCAUCAUAGGACUGAAUGUGCAAUUGCCUGUGCGAGAACCAGAAGGGGAAGAGCAGGCACUAGAACAAAAGUUGUGUCUUAGGACUCGGAGAAAUACUGGUCUAAAUGAAGGAUGUAUAUAAUGGGUUUUACAACCCACUACAACAGAGGUAACGUUUGGCUCCCUAAGGAAACUGCAUUAUGUUAUCCAUAAGACAUGACAGAUGAACUCUUAGCUCCAUCAAAUCUGAGGGCAAAACUCCAGCUGGCUUUGACAGAGCCUGAAUUUACCCUCACACGUUGCACUCUGAACAGAUAUUCUUGGCGAGCAAUAAAAGAGGAGCUUCGGUAUUACCCGCUAUUACAGUCAGUAUUUUUGGCAGAACACUCACGGGUAUCACUGUCAGAUGUCAGCACACCUCUAGGAACGGAGCGCUGAGGCAACGCGGCGUGUGGGGAAUCCCCCACCCUGGGACUGGGGGAUUCAGGCUGAGGAUGUCUCUCAUUUAACAGAUGUUGUGGAGGAGGAACACUCUUUGGCUUCAAUUCUUUGGUAUUUUGGUUUCUAGAGAAUUGUAACCAAGUCCCUGCUAUGACUGGAAUCGGUAGGAAUAACUGCUGUGAAUUAAUUGCAGCGCUCUCUAGGACUUCUUUUAGAAAGCUGGGCAAUGAGAAGCUGGCUGUGUCCCUCGGUCCAAGCUGUGCUGGCAGAAAUUGAAGACUGUCAAAAUUAUUAGACAGAAACUAAGCAUGCUGAAAAGCUGUAUGUAUUUUAGGCUAUUUUAAAGGGCACUGGAGGUUAAAAAAUUAAUAGUUAAAAUGCACAGCGGUGUUCCUAAGUGCAACUGUGUAAUUCUACCUAAGAAAGACAGACAGCUUUUUACUGAUCGGACUUAGUACUUCUCAUAUAUCAAGCUGGUGACGAGCAAAUAAACAUCAUUACAAACUUCUGUAAAAUGAGAAGUCCAAAUAAAAUAACAGAAGUAAAGGUUGAAUUGCAAGUGAGUGUCAGACAUACAAAGUACUGGUAGGUUAAUGCGUUUUGCAUACAGGCUCAUCGACUAUGCUGUACCAUACAGGAAAGAAAUACAAACAUUUUCUCAUCUUGGUUGAAAACAUACUGGAUACACUUAUAAAUUUUUAUGAUUCCACGAAAAAGUGACAUUAAUUGUAGUGCAAUAUUCAGUGUCACCAGCGUAUCACAACAGUAAUAAUUGCUCAUGCCUUGGCAUACUUUCCAUUAACACAGCGCUCACACUGAACAUGUAGGGAGUGCAGUCACAUAAAUGGAAGUUAUACACUGAAAAUAAAUAGGGCAUUUUCCUAAAAUAUUACAAGUUAAUGAUUUCCCGCAAGUGAUUUCACUUUUAGCUGCAGGAUGAUGUGCAAUUUUUCAAUUUUUCCUUUUUUUCCCAGUAUUUAUUCUUUCAAUACAUAGUUGGAGGUGGCAUAAUUAGCCUAUAAAAAUCGUUUCUUCUGUGUGUUAAAGAAGCUCGUUUUGCAUUUGGACACACGGUAUGUGGCAGGUGAACAACAAAGCACACUCAGAGAUUAAUUAACCAGGUAGCAUUCGAGUGGAAUCAUAAUCAAGUGGCUCAGAAAGAAGGGAUCUGACGCAGGAUGUGGGCUUUUCCCUCUGCCCGUGAUAUCACCUUGCUCCCACUAUAUCUCACAGUGCUCAGAAAGAUGCCACAGCCUCCUCCUUUAGGAACCAGGCAGGAGGAGAAGCCAUCAUGGUCCUUCCAACAAUAUGACACAGAAUCAGUGAAUCAUUUGAGUUGGAAACUGUCAGGAUGACACGGUGCCAAGAGGCUGCUCCUGUUCCUUUCUCUGCUUGCAGAGGAGUAAGCACAAGGCAACCUUGUGCCCUGCUCUUUGAUGCUGAGCCCACCAACACUCAGCCCUCCGACUGACUCUCCUUCAGACUUAUCGAAGCUGUAUCUCAGGUUUACAUGCCACAGUUCCCCAUAAAUGGCUGUUUGCUGUAAUCAGAGCUAAUUGGAGUGCCAACUACAGCUCAGCCAUUGAAAUUAGGUUACCAGUUCUGAUGAGUCAUCAAAUCACAGAAAAAUGUGAUCAGCAAAAGUUCCACAAAUGUCUCUACUCGUAACGAGAAAGCUUUUCCCAAGGAACAACAGCUCUUUUAACACCACAGUUAACACAGAGCCAGUCAGAGGACUGCCCAUGUUUGUUAUACGCAACAGAGCUGACUCAGCAGCAGUGUUCUGUUCAGGUUGGAUAUUAGGAAAAAUUUCCCUUCCAAAAGAGUGGUAGAGAGGUUUGGAGCUGGAAUGGGCUGCUCAGGGAGGGGAGUGAGUCAUCACCCCUGGAGGUGUUCAAGAAGGUCUUUUCCGACCGCGGUGAUUCUAUGAUUCUGCGAUUCUAUGACUCUAAGUCACUUAUCUGCACACUUAUAUUAAAAGCAGUACUUCCUGAGCUUUGUAAUGAUAAUGAAGUCCAAAGUUCCUGGAUGCCAUGCACUUUAAAAGCUAGAGCAGAGGACCGGACCACCUGAAUUUCUGGCAUGCCAACGCUAUCGCAUCAUACUGCCAGUGGAAUCAUUUAAGACAGAGCACACAGGCAUGCUCACGCAGCAGCUUGGCUAGGAAUGCCAUGGAGGAAAUCGUGAACAUGGGAGCAGCCUGAAAACAGCCUGCAAGUGCUGCCUCACCCUCUUCCUCUGAAUGUGACUGUGGCAAUAUCUGGUGGAUAACUUGAGGGGAAAAAAAACAAAGCAUCAAGAGGAGCAUUUUCUUUCUUGUCUCUCAUUAGCCAUUUGCUAGUGUCCUUGGUAUCCAGUCACUGGAGGUGUUCAAGGCCAAGUUGGAUGGGGCACUGGGCAACCUGAUCUAGUGUCUGAUUUAGUGGUUGACAACACGGCCUGCAGCAGGGGGGGGCUGGAACUGGAUGAUCUCUGAGGUCUCUACCAACCCAAGCGAAUCUGUAAUACCAUGAUUCUAUGAAGAGUGCACCCAUUGUAUGACACUGCUGGACCAGUCUGCAAAACAAGAGCAAGGCAGUGUCUAUCACAGAAUUGAGGUCUUCCCCUGGACUACUUAGCACAGCCAGAAAAAAAUACAUAUGGGUCCUUCUGGUGUGCACAAUCCUUGGUUUGAACUACUGUAAAAAAUACUACCUCGAUCUACACGUUACAUCCUGCGCUUUUGCUCACGGACAACCACAACUACAAAAGCUGAUUUUUACAGACAGAAAACCACCACUGUUGAUGACUGUGCUAUUAAGCAUAAAAACAUCCUUACAUUUAUAUGCUUAUUAUUUUGACUGUAAGCAAAUCAUCACAGAAGUUGCCAGAAAGAAAGCACACAGGACAACAAUUCCGCAUCAAAGGGGAAGAGGAAGUAACACUUGUUAGCACCUUGCAUCCAAGAUAAUCAAAAUAGUUUACAAACUCUGCUGAAAUUAAACCUCACCACAAAUCUGCGAGGCGGGGAAAUGUUAUUACAUUAUUUCCCAGAUGGGAAAGCUGCUGCAGGGGCCCAGGUCACUGAAAGGCACCGGCAGAUUUAACAGUACUGCUCCAUUAGUUGAGAUCCGCUCCCACAUUUAAGUACUAAUACAGUUCCGAUGAUGUUGAAAUCAAAAAGAUCUUUCUAAAUGCGCGCAUAUUUAUCUGCAGUGCUCAUCCAAGCAGCAAGUGAAAUUGGUUUGAGCACAGCCGUUCCUCUCUGGCUGAAAGGACUUCAGUGAGAAGCCUUGCACAGAUACGGCAGAAACGCGCAGACCAGCUGGCUGCCUAAUGUCGGAGUGCCGAGCCAACUGCUUCUCCCAGAACCUAUUUUCUAGGAGAUGAAACAGAUGCACCACAGCUGGACCACCGUCUCCGAGCUGUUCUCAAACCACUGGAUUCUGAUUAUGUUUACAACAAUACAUCUGCAGCCGUUAAUUCAAAUACUAUAUUUCCAUUAACACACAUAUUUGAAUGUUUGUCAGAUUUCUUUUCAAUUAUGUCUCGUUGGCUGUACCUUUCAUCCCAUGCCUGGGACAGGAAUCUCAGAAGUCUGGGAGUUUGCUCUUCAGGCUGCAAGAGCCUGGCUAUCUCAGAGACUAGCCAGCCCCAGAAUCUGUGCAUAGGGCCCUUGGCAGCACAUGAUGCUGCUGCCACUGCUACCAUUCAUUUGUACAGUGAGGUCACUGCAGCAAGUGGUGACCUCACUGGUCAUGUUUGUGAAGAUGUCCACCUUGUGGUGGGGCUGUAAGCUGGGCAAGAAGUCGGCUGUGAACUGGCUGUGGACUGAUAUAUUAUUCCCGUUUCUGAAUCAUGUUUACAUCAUUCCCAAAGAAGAAAUCUAAUGUUUUUCAAGGGUGGAAAUCACCUGACAACAGUUAAUGCUCACUGAAUAGGUACCAUGCUGCUCAUAUUACCACAUUCAGUGUAACACUUAGAAGAAUUGGUCAGGUCUAGUAAUGUACACCUGUGUAAUUACUUUAAUAAACACUGUUUGGACUAA